rnacentral:rRNA from 1 species
AAUAUUGGGCAAUGGACGGAAGUCUGACCCAGCCAUGCCGCGUGAAGGAUGAAGGCGUUCUGCGUUGUAAACUUCUUUUACCAGGGAAGAAAUGAUAUUUUUCUAAAUAUUUUGACGGUACCUAAGGAGGAAGCCCCGGCUAACUACGUGCCAGCAGCCGCGGUAAUACGUAGGGGGCAAGCGUUGUCCGGAAUUAUUGGGCGUAAAGGGUGCGUAGGCGGCCUUUUAAGUCAGAUGUGAAAGCCCACGGCUUAACCGUGGGACUGCAUUUGAAACUGGAGGGCUUGAGUAUCGGAGAGGGUAGUGGAAUUCCCAGUGUAGCGGUGGAAUGCGUAGAUAUUGGGAGGAACACCAGUGGCGAAGGCGACUACCUGGACGAAAACUGACGCUGAGGCACGAAAGCUAGGGGAGCAAAC